AACGCACGAGACCUGCGGACCUGCGGAGGGAUCAUUAGUGAACGCCCUCACGGGCUUAUAACUAUUCCAAACCUCUGUGAACCGUGCCCUUCGGGGCUAUUUUACAAACAUGGUGUAAUGAACGUCAUAUAUCUUAACAAAACAAAACUUUCAACAACGGAUCUCU
rnacentral:misc_RNA from 1 species